rnacentral:rRNA from 1 species
UACCAGCACCCCGAGUGGUCGGGACGAUUAUUGGGCCUAAAGCAUCCGUAGCCGGUCCUACAAGCCUUCCGUUAAAUCCACCUGCUUAACAGAUGGGCUGCGGAAGAUACUAUAGGGCUAGGAGGCGGGAGAGGCAAGCGGUACUCAGUGGGUAGGGGUAAAAUCCUCUGAUCCAUUGAAGACCACCAGUGGCGAAGGCGGCUUGCCAGAACGCGCUCGACGGUGAGGGAUGAAAGCUGGGGGAGCAAACCGG